UCUCGUUCAUCUCUCUCUCUCUCUCUCUCUCUCUCUCUCUCUCUCUCUUGGGCACUUGGCAAGCAUUUGAAAUUUUUGGAGAACUGUAGGAAUCUAAGGAGCUGAAGCAAUGCUUGGAGUAGUGUGGGAAGUCAGCUGGAAGUUUCGUUGUGGUUGAGGUUAUAGCGUUAAGGUUUGGGAGUAAGGAUUGCACUCGGGAUCGCCAUACGCCAUUUGCUGAAGAUUCAAGUUUGGAGACCGUUAACGGCAUUACAUGUGUAAUGUAUGACGUAGUGGCGAGGUCAUAACGCAGAUACGUUAUCUUCCACAGUGGCGGGGCCAUUAUAAAGAUGGAAUGUCCAUCUACUCGGCAUGAGUCGUAUGUUGUUUGGAAAAUCUGUGAACCGAUUGUGAUUACAGAGUAAGGGGAAAGGGAAGCUCAACCAGCCUGCUCGCCUGCCACGGUCGAUAUAUUUUGAGAAACAUGAAUCUUUAGUUGAAAAUUUGCCGCUUAGGUCGGCUAAGUCUGUAUUUUUGAUAAACUUGUAUUUUAUUAGAAACUUUUGGGACCCCUUGUAAUUAAUUAACCUUUUAAAUGAGAAGUCCAAAG